AUGCUGUUAUCUCCUUUUUUCCGGGUUUUACAGAAAAUGUGCAGAGGCCAGAGGGAUCUAUCUAUGUCUGGAUCCUAUCUCAGCUGCAGUAGCUCCUUUUCCCGGCGAGGUGGCCGGCGGCGAGCUGAGAGGCGGUCAGAUGGGGAGACCGGCGGCGCGGUCUCAGAAGAUGUCGAGGACGUCGAGGAUGGCGGCGUUGCAGAGCGGGCAGCGGCCGCGGCCGGCGAGGAGCUCGCGGGCGCAGGCGCGGCAGAAGGUGUGGCCGCACGGGAUGAAGGCCGCGCCCUUGGCCCGCGCCAUGCACACGCAGCAGCAGCCGGCGCCUCGCCCCGGCUCCGGCAGCUCCGCGUCGUCCUCCGGCACCAGCGCGUCCUGCGACGACGGCUCCGACGCGGCGACCGCCGGGUCCUGCUCCUGCUCCUGCUGUGCCGUCGCGCCGGCGCUCCACUGCCUCUCCGUCUGCUCCAGCAGCGCCAUGAGGGACACCCGCUCCCCCUGCUCCUCCUCUUCCUCCGCCGCCUGAUCCGUCGGCGGCUGAGGCGGCGACGCCUCCGGAGGUGUCACCGGCGCGGCCACGGGUCUAGUCAACGCGGGGCCCGGGGCCGGCAGGGACACCGCGCGGCGGACGAACGGGUCGCCGACGCCCGUUGCGGAGACCACGGCGUGCGAGGCGGGGGGAGCCGGCUGGUCGUCGCGGAUGAUGUCGAGCAGCGUCCGCGCGGCGGCGGCAGCGACGGCGGCGCUGGAGGAGGGCGGCGAGGAGGAGGCCCGGCGGUCGGCCUGCAUGGCGGAGGCGAGGGUGACCGCGGCGGCGCGGCGGCCGUCGUCCUCGUCGCGCAGCUUGAGGAGGUCGCGGAGGUUGCAGGAGCCCGGCUGCCCCGGCGGCGCGGCGGCGGGCGGGCCCACGGCGGCCAGCUGGUCCGCCAGCGUCACGCUGCGCCGCAGCACCCUCCCCUCCAUCUCGGCCGGUGUCUGGUCUGGGCAAAGGCAGUCGCCCGAGGUGGAAGAAGAGGACAAGGCGGGGAAAGGAAAGGGAAGGGAAGGGAAGCGCCUAUUAUUCUUCGGUCUAGCCAGCAGCGGCAGGGCGUCAGGGGUUAA
rnacentral:rRNA from 1 species